rnacentral:misc_RNA from 1 species
GAAAUGCGAUAAGUAAUGUGAAUUGCAGAAUUCAGUGAAUCAUCGAAUCUUUGAACGCACAUUGCGCCCGCCAGUAUUCUGGCGGGCACGCCUGUCCGAGCGUCAUUUCAACCAUCAAGCCCCCGGGCUUGUGUUGGGGACCUGCGGCUGCCCGCAGGCCCUGAAAACCAGUGGCGGGCUCGCUGUCACACCGAGCGUAGUAGCAAUCACCUCGCUCAGGGCGUGCUGCGGGUUCCGGCCGUUAAACAGCCUUACAAAACCCAAGGUUGACCUCGGAUCAGGUAGGAAGACCCGCUGAACUUAAGC